AGUGAACGCUGGCGGUAGGCCUAACACAUGCAAGUCGAACGGCAGCACAGCAAGAGCUUGCUCUUACGGGUGGCGAGUGGCGGACGGGUGAGGAAUACAUCGGAAUCUACUUUUUCGUGGGGGAUAACGUAGGGAAACUUACGCUAAUACCGCAUACGACCUACGGGUGAAAGCAGGGGAUCUUCGGACCUUGCGCGAUUGAAUGAGCCGAUGUCGGAUUAGCUAGUUGGCGGGGUAAAGGCCCACCAAGGCGACGAUCCGUAGCUGGUCUGAGAGGAUGAUCAGCCACACUGGAACGGAGACAGGGUCCAGAGUCCUACGGGAGGCAGCAGUGGGGAAUAUUGGACAAUGGGCGCAAGCCUGAUCCAGCCAUACCGCGUGGGUGAAGAAGGCCUUCGGGUUGUAAAGCCGUUUUGUUGGGAAAGAAAAGCAGCAGGUUAAUACCCCGCUGUUCUGACGGUACCCAAAGAAUAAGCACCGGCUAACUUCGUG
rnacentral:rRNA from 1 species